ACCGAACGACAGGGGAGCGCCUCCUGCUCGCGGGCUCCGGCCGGCGGGUGGCCGGCGCUGAGAGUGCGGACCGCCGCAGACCCUCGAACCUGAUCCGGCUAGUACCGGCGAAGGGAGUCGAGCUUCUCGAAGC
rnacentral:ncRNA from 2 species